AUGAACGCUAGCUACAGGCUUAACACAUGCAAGUCGAGGGGCAUCAGGAAGAAAGCUUGCUUUCUUUGCUGGCGACCGGCGCACGGGUGAGUAACACGUAUCCAACCUGCCCUUUACUCGGGGAUAGCCUUUCGAAAGAAAGAUUAAUACCCGAUGGCAUAAUGAUUCCGCAUGGUUUCAUUAUUAAAGGAUUCCGGUAAAGGAUGGGGAUGCGUUCCAUUAGGUUGUUGGUGAGGUAACGGCUCACCAAGCCUUCGAUGGAUAGGGGUUCUGAGAGGAAGGUCCCCCACAUUGGAACUGAGACACGGUCCAAACUCCUACGGGAGGCAGCAGUGAGGAAUAUUGGUCAAUGGGCGCUAGCCUGAACCAGCCAAGUAGCGUGAAGGAUGAAGGCUCUAUGGGUCGUAAACUUCUUUUAUAUAAGAAUAAAGUGCAGUAUGUAUACUGUUUUGUAUGUAUUAUAUGAAUAAGGAUCGGCUAACUCCGUGCCAGCAGCCGCGGUAAUACGGAGGAUCCGAGCGUUAUCCGGAUUUAUUGGGUUUAAAGGGAGCGUAGGUGGACUGGUAAGUCAGUUGUGAAAGUUUGCGGCUCAACCGUAAAAUUGCAGUUGAUACUGUCAGUCUUGAGUACAGUAGAGGUGGGCGGAAUUCGUGGUGUAGCGGUGAAAUGCUUAGAUAUCACGAAGAACUCCGAUUGCGAAGGCAGCUCACUGGACUGCAACUGACACUGAUGCUCGAAAGUGUGGGUAUCAAACAGGAUUAGAUACCCUGGUAGUCCACACAGUAAACGAUGAAUACUCGCUGUUUGCGAUAUACAGUAAGCGGCCAAGCGAAAGCGUUAAGUAUUCCACCUGGGGAGUACGCCGGCAACGGUGAAACUCAAAGGAAUUGACGGGGGCCCGCACAAGCGGAGGAACAUGUGGUUUAAUUCGAUGAUACGCGAGGAACCUUACCCGGGCUUAAAUUGCAGUGGAAUGAUGUGGAAACAUGUCAGUGAGCAAUCACCGCUGUGAAGGUGCUGCAUGGUUGUCGUCAGCUCGUGCCGUGAGGUGUCGGCUUAAGUGCCAUAACGAGCGCAACCCUUAUCUUUAGUUACUAACAGGUUAUGCUGAGGACUCUAGAGAGACUGCCGUCGUAAGAUGUGAGGAAGGUGGGGAUGACGUCAAAUCAGCACGGCCCUUACGUCCGGGGCUACACACGUGUUACAAUGGGGGGUACAGAAGGCAGCUAGCGGGUGACCGUAUGCUAAUCCCAAAAGCCUCUCUCAGUUCGGAUCGAAGUCUGCAACCCGACUUCGUGAAGCUGGAUUCGCUAGUAAUCGCGCAUCAGCCACGGCGCGGUGAAUACGUUCCCGGGCCUUGUACACACCGCCCGUCAAGCCAUGGGAGCCGGGGGUACCUGAAGUACGUAACCGCAAGGAUCGUCCUAGGGUAAAACUGGUGACUGGGGCU
rnacentral:rRNA from 1 species